UGGGAGAGGGCCCGGCCUGCCGCCAUCUUAGAGGCCGCGAGAAAGCGCCUCGCGGUGGGAAGGUCUGGCCUCUGUUUUCCCAAAGACCUAAGCCAAUGAAUCUGCAUCCAGAAAAACACUUAAGUAUUCAAGAAAAUAUUAUCAUCGACAGUGAAAAAAAAUUAAGGCUGAAACUCUUUUUUUAUAGUGCAGAACAACAUUAUUUGUUUUUUUUCUUUGUUUAUCAGCAUGUGACAUCCAGGCUAGAACUGGUAUUAGAGAACUGGUUAAUAUAGAAAAAUGGAAGGAAAAAUAUUAAAAGUCAGUGUAGAGAUAAGUUUAGGUAACCAAUCCAGUUGCAGUUACCUUGAGAUGCAUGGAUAAAAGGGGGUCUAUUAGGAUCUCUGUACACUAGGAAUAUUGACCUGUUUUUGAUAAUUAUAGCUUUUUAAAUUAAUACGUAUUUCAAAUAUAGUAUAGCAAGACUGAAUGCAAUAAGUGCUUCAUGAAUGAAAAUUAAGUUAAAUUGACUAAGUGGGUGUUGGCCAGUUGAGAUAAUUACCUAAUAGUCUGAACAGUUUUUGUUUUCCCUUUAUUUGCCCAAGUCAUAAAAAGCAAAUAAUAAUUAGUAAUUAUCAGCAAUAUGGGGGUGUGAUAGCUAUUGAAAGAGGGGUAUGGACAGGAAGUGGAAAAAAACAGUAACAAGUGACACAACUAUACAAUAAUAGGGUUUGUGGAAGAAGUCAGUUUGACAUUGAGGGUUAAUAUUAGAAAUUGGAUCUGAGGAGGGAGAAAUUGUCAUGUCUAAAUGAUUCAUGUUGUAAAAGUAAUAAUAGUAAUUGGUUUAUUUUCACAGUGGAGCUGCCAGGAGACGCCAACAUCUGCUGUGUGUGGUUCAUUUUUAAUCCCAUCUUUUUCCUGGGGGAAAAGUCGUGUGACCGAAUGGGAUUUUAUUAAUUUUUAAAAUAUAAUUUACACUGCUAUGUGUUUAUAUUGUGAAGUCAAGGUCAAAAUAUAGUAGUGUUGGGAGCAGGUAGUAGUGAAGUAUGCUGGAGUUCAUUCUAAUGCCUUGGUCUUCUGCACAGACAAGAACAGUUUAGCUCUACCUAAGAAGUGAAGCAUCAGCCAUAGUGACUACCCAGGAACUUUAGAUGGUCCUUUAGGUAUUCUGAUCUCAAGCCACUGAGCUUUGAAGAUUGGGAUUUAGACCUUAAAUUUGACAUGGUAUCCUAUGGGGAGCCAGUGCAGGGGAUGGACGAUAGUUGUAUAAAAACCUGCAUCUUUGCACGUUUUGUGUGCAUAUUUGUAGGUAUAUAUAUACCUAUAUGCUUAAAAGAGCAGUUCUUCAUAGAAUUUAUAUAAAGGAAUAUUAUUCUUAAGCCUAUGCAAAAGAAGAAACAUUUAGUUAAUCUUGCCAUUUUUCUUAUUAACAGUAAUCCUAAAAAACUCUAAAUUGUAGCAUUUAUACAAGAUCUCAGUGAGUUUUAAUUGCACACAAAAGUUUGGAGAGUCUGCAUUAAUUUAUUUUUUAAAAAUAUUUUUAGACAUAUAAAAUAGUUUGACACAGUGCUAAAUUUAUUAAGCUGUUUUUAAUGAGCUUUAACUCAAAAAACUAUUGAAUUACUUUAUUGUAAAGUCUCAGAAAAUUCUGUAAUUUUAGGGAGAAUCUGUAUUUAUGCAACAAAAUGGCAGAAUCUCCUUUUUAAACGGAAAACUCAAAUAACAUUUUAGAAGUGUGAUUGGUGCUUCCAUUAUAAAAGAUACUACCUCCAAAAACACAUUGAGGAAUGCAUUGUUUCAAGAUCAAAGAGGCGAAGGCCCUGUCUACAUUUUACUUGUAUUGUGCAAUGAACUGGUUCAUUACACAAUUACUGUGAGACCCACUACACAUGCAAAGUACCUAGCACACCAUAAAAAAGCUCCAAUGAGCUAUGAAGUUAGACCUUGAAAAUGUGUACUAAUUUUAUAGCUGGUUGCUAUUGAAUUUCAAUUUGCAUGUAUAGCAGGGUCUCCCCUGACCAGGCAACCAACAGGACUCCCAGUGUCAGAGGUGCACCAUGCCCAGCCAGGGCUGCAACUGAGGUGAUUCUUGGCCCCAGCAGCUGCAUAUAUUGGGUCCUGGAAGUGUGCCUCCCGGUGCCAGGACUCAGCUGGGUCCUGGCAGCCACAGGGCACAGGUGCGAUCUCCCAGCCAUGGGGGUGUGUGGAGCCCCCAAUGCUGGGAGAUGUCAGCUCCCUCAAUCUCCCAAUCCUAGGGGUGUUGAGUCGAGUCCCUGCAACUGGGAGAUCAUAGCUGCCAUGAUCUCCCAGCCGUAGGGUCUCCCACAGCUGGGAAAUCACAGCUGCUGUGACCUCCCAGCUGCAGGGGUGUUUUGGGCACCCCCAGAGCUAGGAGCCCCUCAACUGAGAAGUCUCCCAGCCACGGGAACUUGUUAGUGCAGGGGGAGACCAGGAUUAGGCUUUCCCUGAACUGGCAGUGGCACUAUGGAAUAUAAGGCGUGAUCCCACAGUCUUGCCUUCUGCCAUAAAUGUGUCAUGGCAGGAGGCGUGAUUGUGUGGAUCAUGAAUUAGAUCCCAUAGCGCUUUUACCUGCACGUGUAGAGGGGCCCGAAGUUCAAGAAUGUCAUCAGGGCAGUCUUAAUUUGGCCUUUUAGCAUAUAUGUAUUAUGUUAUAAUCUUUAAUUGCACAACUAUAUAGUGUGUCUCCCCUCCUCCCCCCGCCCAAGAUCCUCAGUUCAUUCAGUGAAUGGGUACUUAUUCAGAAUUGCUUUUUAUGCUUCUCAUUCAUUGUAUUGGCUCCCAGCACUUAUUAAAUAAAUGGUAUACAAACCCUA